UACGUAGGGCGCAAGCGUUGUCCGGAAUUAUUGGGCGUAAAGAGCUCGUAGGCGGCUUGUCACGUCGGGUGUGAAAGCCCGGGGCUUAACCCCGGGUCUGCAUUCGAUACGGGCAGGCUAGAGUGUGGUAGGGGAGAUCGGAAUUCCUGGUGUAGCGGUGAAAUGCGCAGAUAUCAGGAGGAACACCGGUGGCGAAGGCGGCCUGCUGGGACAGUGCUGACGCUGAAGCGCGACAGCGUGGGGAGCAAACAGG
rnacentral:rRNA from 1 species